rnacentral:tRNA from 1 species
UCCCUUGUAGCUCAGCAGGUAAAGAAUCUGCCUGCAAUGCAGGAGACCUGGGUUCGAUUCCUGGGUUGGGAC